UAGGGAAUCUUCCGCAAUGGACGAAAGUCUGACGGAGCAACGCCGCGUGAGUGAAGAAGGUUUUCGGAUCGUAAAACUCUGUUGUCAGAGAAGAACAAGUCGGAGAGUAACUGCUCCGGCCUUGACGGUAUCUGACCAGAAAGCCACGGCUAACUACGUGCCAGCAGCCGCGGUAAUACGUAGGUGGCAAGCGUUGUCCGGAUUUAUUGGGCGUAAAGCGAGCGCAGGCGGUUCCUUAAGUCUGAUGUGAAAGCCCACGGCUCAACCGUGGAAGGUCAUUGGAAACUGGGGAACUUGAGUGCAGAAGAGGAGAGUGGAAUUCCAUGUGUAGCGGUGAAAUGCGUAGAUAUAUGGAGGAACACCAGUGGCGAAGGCGACUCUCUGGUCUGUAACUGACGCU
rnacentral:rRNA from 1 species